AUUGAACGCUGGCGGCAGGCCUAACACAUGCAAGUCGAGCGAGCGGCGGCCGGGUGAGUCAUGUAUGGGGAUCUGCCCGCUAGAGGGGGAUAACUACUGGAAACGGUAGCUCAUACCGCAUACUAUCUGAUGAACCCAUAUGGGAUUAGCUCGUAGGUGAGGUAAUGGCUCACCUAGGCGACGAUCCCUAGCGGGUGUGAGAGGAUGAUCAGCCACACUGGGACUGAGACACGGCCCAGACGCCUACGGGAGGCAGCAGUGGGGAAUAUUGAACAAUGGGCGCAAGCCUGAUGCAGCCAUGCCGCGUGUAUGAAGAAGGCCUUCGGGUUGUAAAGUACUUUCAGCGGGGAGGCGUUACCCGCAGAAGAAGCACCGGCUAACUCCGUGCCAGCAGCCGCGGUAAUUC
rnacentral:rRNA from 1 species